AUCGAACGCUGGCGGCAGGCCUAACACAUGCAAGUCGAGCGGAUGAAGGGAGCUUGCUCCUGGAUUCAGCGGCGGACGGGUGAGUAAUGCCUAGGAAUCUGCCUGGUAGUGGGGGAUAACGUCCGCAAACGGGCGCUAAUACCGCAUACGUCCUGAGGGAGAAAGUGGGGGAUCUUCGGACCUCACGCUAUCAGAUGAGCCUAGGCCGGAUUAGCUAGUUGGUGGGGUAAAGGCCUACCAAGGCGACGAUCGGUAACUGGUCUGAGAGGAGGAUCAGUCACACUAGAAGGUGGACAGGGACCAUGGUCCUGCGGGAGGGAGCAGAGGGGAAUGGUGGACAGUGGGCGGGAACAUUGUCCAGCGGGGGGACGUGUGUGGAGGAAGUCUUCGGAGUGGGAAGCACUUUAUGUUGGGAGAAAGGGCAGUAGGUUGUUACGUUGCUGGAGUGACGGUAACGGCAGAAGAAGCACCGGCUAACUACGUG
rnacentral:rRNA from 1 species